GAUGAACGCUGGCGGCGUGCCUAAUACAUGCAAGUCGAGCGAACGGACGAGAAGCUUGCUUCUCUGAUGUUAGCGGCGGACGGGUGAGUAACACGUGGAUAACCUACCUAUAAGACUGGGAUAACUUCGGGAAACCGUAGCUAAUACCGGAUAAUAUUUUGAACGGCAUGGUUCAAAAGUGAAAGACGGUCUUGCUGUCACUUAUAGAUGGAUCCGCGCUGCAUUAGCUAGUUGGUAAGGUAACGGCGUACCAAGGCAACGAUGCAUAGCCGGCCUGAGAGGGUGAUCGGCCACACUGGAACUGAGACACGGUCCAGACUCCUACGGGGGGCAGCAGUAGGGAAUCUUCCGCAAUGGGCGAAAGCCUGACGGAGCAACGCCGCGUGAGUGAUGAAGGUCUUCGGAUCGUAAAACUCUGUUAUUAGGGAAGAACAUAUGUGUAAGUAACUGUGCACAUCUUGACGGUACCUAAUCAGAAAGCCACGGCUAACUACGUG
rnacentral:rRNA from 1 species